UGGCAACAGAAUCCAGCCUCAACAAACGAUAAGCGGGGCGUGUUGUGACUGGCUGACAAACCCGCGGAGCUGAAGAUCCAUGUGAAUGAAGAACCAGCACAGUAAUUAUGAUGGUUGCAGUGAGCCGGAGCCUAUCCUGGAGACAGUCGGGGAACACCAGUCCAUCACAGGGCUACAGGUAGGUACCCAGGCACACAGCCAGGUGAAGGUACUAGUGCAAUAGCAGGGCAUCCAUCUUGCUCAAGGGCACUACAGCUAGAGGCGGGGAUGAAACCAGCAACCUUCAGAGGCAAAGGCAGCCACUCCAAACACGAC
rnacentral:lncRNA from 1 species